rnacentral:rRNA from 1 species
UACGAAGGGGGCUAGCGUUGCUCGGAAUCACUGGGCGUAAAGGGUGCGUAGGCGGGUCUUUAAGUCAGGGGGGAAAUCCUGGAGCUCAACUCCAGAACUGCCUUUGAUACUGAAGAUCUUGAGUUCGGGAGAGGUGAGUGGAACUGCGAGUGUAGAGGUGAAAUUCGUAGAUAUUCGCAAGAACACCAGUGGCGAAGGCGGCUCACUGGCCCGUAACUGACGCUGAGGCACGAAAGCGUGGGGAGCAAACAGG